rnacentral:rRNA from 1 species
AGAGUUUGAUCCUGGCUCAGGAUGAACGCCGGCGGUGUGCCUAAUACAUGCAAGUCGUACGCACUGGCCCAACUGAUUGAUGGUGCUUGCACCUGAUUGACGAUGGAUCACCAGUGAGUGGCGGACGGGUGAGUAACACGUAGGUAACCUGCCCCGGAGCGGGGGAUAACAUUUGGAAACAGAUGCUAAUACCGCAUAACAACAAAAGCCACAUGGCUUUUGUUUGAAAGAUGGCCUUGGCUAUCACUCUGGGAUGGACCUGCGGUGCAUUAGCUAGUUGGUAAGGUAACGGCUUACCAAGGCGAUGAUGCAUAGCCGAGUUGAGAGACUGAUCGGCCACAAUGGAACUGAGACACGGUCCAUACUCCUACGGGAGGCAGCAGUAGGGAAUCUUCCACAAUGGGCGCAAGCCUGAUGGAGCAACACCGCGUGAGUGAAGAAGGGUUUCGGCUCGUAAAGCUCUGUUGUUGGAGAAGAACGUGCGUGAGAGUAACUGUUCACGCAGUGACGGUAUCCAACCAGAAAGUCACGGCUAACUACGUGCCAGCAGCCGCGGUAAUACGUAGGUGGCAAGCGUUAUCCGGAUUUAUUGGGCGUAAAGCGAGCGCAGGCGGUUGCUUAGGUCUGAUGUGAAAGCCUUCGGCUUAACCGAAGAAGUGCAUCGGAAACCGGGCGACUUGAGUGCAGAAGAGGACAGUGGAACUCCAUGUGUAGCGGUGGAAUGCGUAGAUAUAUGGAAGAACACCAGUGGCGAAGGCGGCUGUCUGGUCUGCAACUGACGCUGAGGCUCGAAAGCAUGGGUAGCGAACAGGAUUAGAUACCCUGGUAGUCCAUACCGUAAACGAUGAGUGCUAGGUGUUGGAGGGUUUCCGCCCUUCAGUGCCGGAGCUAACGCAUUAAGCACUCCGCCUGGGGAGUACGACCGCAAGGUUGAAACUCAAAGGAAUUGACGGGGGCCCGCACAAGCGGUGGAGCAUGUGGUUUAAUUCGAAGCUACGCGAAGAACCUUACCAGGUCUUGACAUCUUGCGCUAACCUUAGAGAUAAGGCGUUCCCUUCGGGGACGCAAUGACAGGUGGUGCAUGGUCGUCGUCAGCUCGUGUCGUGAGAUGUUGGGUUAAGUCCCGCAACGAGCGCAACCCUUGUUACUAGUUGCCAGCAUUAAGUUGGGCACUCUAGUGAGACUGCCGGUGACAAACCGGAGGAAGGUGGGGACGACGUCAGAUCAUCAUGCCCCUUAUGACCUGGGCUACACACGUGCUACAAUGGACGGUACAACGAGUCGCAAGCUCGCGAGAGUAAGCUAAUCUCUUAAAGCAGUUCUCAGUUCGGACUGUAGGCUGCAACUCGCCUACACGAAGUCGGAAUCGCUAGUAAUCGCGGAUCAGCAUGCCGCGGUGAAUACGUUCCCGGGCCUUGUAAAGACCGCCCGUCA